rnacentral:rRNA from 1 species
GACGAACGCUGGCGGCGUGCCUAAUACAUGCAAGUCGAACGCAGUGGGGACGGGUGAGUAACACGUGGGUAACCUCCCUUCAGAGGGUCUAACACUUGGAAACAGGUGCUAAACCGAUACUGAUGGAUGGACGCGUGGUGCAUUAGCCAGUUGGUGCGGUAACGGCUCACCAAGGCCACGAUGCAUAGCCGACCUGAGAGGGGAAUAGGCCACACUGGGACGGAGACACGGCCCAGACUCGGACGGGAGGCAGCAGUAGGGAAUCUUCGGCAAUGGACGAAAGUCUGACCGAGAAACGCCGCGUGAGUGAAGAAGGUUUUCGGAUCGUAAAACUCUGUUGUUAGAGAAGCGGUAUCUAACCAGAAAGCCACGGCUAACUACGUGCCAGCAGCCGCGGUAAUUC